AAGAUGUAUGAAAGAGAGAUGGUUAGCACUCCCCUUGACAAGGAGGGAAGUGGUCCCAGUGGCCUUUAUGACACAUAGGGGUAUAUGCAAUUGCGGUCGAAUUCCCGAAAUUGUCGAAUUUCGGGUCAUUUU